UCUGAUAAUAUCAGCCCCACUACUUAAAAAGAUGGAGACAGGAGAAGCGGGUUCCGAUAUGGUUGCGGUGAGGUCCACUUCCUCCAGGUUCCCGAUUCGGGCUCCAUCGACUCUCCAAUGCUGCAGGCAAUUGAGAAAAAGCAUAUUAAGGAACAACCGGAUGCAGAUGUUGUCAUCAUGAAGGAUGCCUUUGGAGAUGGUCGACGUGUAAGGAUAGCGUAUCGCUUGCUUAAAUGUUAAGAAUGGGCUGGGGCAGUGGAAAGUUUAGAAGACGUUGGGCAGAACUUUUGUUAGCAUAUAUGUAGUUGUGUAUAAGCUACCUUGCAUCUAAUGAAAUGUGACUAUAAAUCUAAACCUGUGGAUUUUGUGUAAGUUGAAGGAUCCCUCAUGUAUAGGGUUUUGGAAUGUUAAAUUAAAAUUGUGUAAUGAUAUGAACUUAUGGUAAAUCGAUGAUUGUGGUGACUGCAUGGAUUUCCCCA